CACGCAUGACACACUGCAUAUCAAUAAGCGGAGGAAAAGAAACUAACAAGGAUUCCCCUAGUAACGGCGAGUGAAGCGGGAAGAGCUCAAAUUUGAAAUCUUAAAGGGUUUCCCUUUACGAAUUGUAGUUUAAAGAAGUGUUUUCUGUUGGAGUUUCGGUAAAAGUUCUUUGGAAUAGGACAUCAUAGAGGGUGAGAAUCCCGUAUUUGACCGUUACUUUCCAGCUGUGUGAUACACUUUCAAAGAGUCGGAUUGUUUGGGAAUGCAGUCCAAGAUGGGUGGUAAAUUUCAUCUAAAGCUAAAUAUUGGCGAGAGACCGAUAGCGAACAAGUACCGUGAGGGAGAGAUGAAAAGAACUUUGAAAAGAGAGUUAAACAGUACGUGAAAUUGUCAAAAGGGAAGCGUUUGACACCAGUGUUGUUUAGUUGAAAAUCAAUUCAAUAGUUUUUGAUUCUAAGUAGUAUUGACUUCAUCAGCUUGCUGCUUUCUUCUCAGAAAUUAUUGAAUGCACUUUUCAGUUAACAAGUCAACAUCAAUUUCUUUUGUUGUAAAAGGGUAAGAGGAAGGUGGCUUGCGCUUCGGCUCAAGUGUUUAUAGCCUUUUAUCUCUGCAAUCGGAGAGAUUGAGGUCUGCAGCGUAGAUCCUUCGGGGUUAGAUACAUUGGUGCUAAGCUAUAGCCUUGUAUAGACAACUUGUUGACUAUGCUCAGUCGUGUAGCUUACUCGCUGAUGCUAUUUUACCUACGCUUAGGAUGUUGAGCGCAUGUCUCUCUCU
rnacentral:rRNA from 1 species